rnacentral:other from 1 species
CGCAUCCUGCCCGGUGCGCGGACCUAUGCAGAAAUAACCCUACAAUGUUUAAUAGGGAACCCGGACUCCGGAGGCGGACUUCAGACCUCCCGGCUUUUGCCGGACGAAGGGAGUGCGAAGCUUCAGGGAGGGUACCCACCUGCUUUUAGUAGCAGGUUAUUCAGCAUUUUACGGCCGGGCGGGUACUU